rnacentral:rRNA from 1 species
CAGCAGCCGCGGGAAUACGGAGGGUGCAAGCGUUAAUCGGAAUUACUGGGCGUAAAGCGCACGCAGGCGGUUUGUUAAGUCAGAUGUGAAAUCCCCGAGCUUAACUUGGGAACUGCAUUUGAAACUGGCAAGCUAGAGUCUUGUAGAGGGGGGUAGAAUUCCAGGUGUAACGGUGAAAUGCGUAGAGAUCUGGAGGAAUACCGGUGGCGAAGGCGGCCCCCUGGACAAAGACUGACGCUCAGGUGCGAAAGCGUGGGGAGCAAACAGGAUUAGAUACCCGAGUAGUCCCUGUCUCUUAUAC